rnacentral:rRNA from 1 species
GUGGGGAAUAUUGGACAAUGGGCGAAAGCCUGAUCCAGCCAUGCCGCGUGUGUGAAGAAGGUCUUCGGAUUGUAAAGCACUUUAAGUUGGGAGGAAGGGUAGUAACCUAAUACGUUGCUACUUUGACGUUACCGACAGAAUAAGCACCGGCUAACUUCGUGCCAGCAGCCGCGGUAAUACGAAGGGUGCAAGCGUUAAUCGGAAUUACUGGGCGUAAAGCGCGCGUAGGUGGUUCAGUAAGUUGGAAGUGAAAUCCCCGGGCUCAACCUGGGAACUGCCUCCAAAACUGCAUGACUAGAGUACGGUAGAGGGUAGUGGAAUUUCCUGUGUAGCGGUGAAAUGCGUAGAUAUAGGAAGGAACACCAGUGGCGAAGGCGACUACCUGGACUGAUACUGACACUGAGGUGCGAAAGCGUGGGGAGCAAACAGGAUUAGAAACCCGAGUAGUCC